UACAGAGGUCUCAAGCGUUGUUCGGAUUCAUUGGGCGUAAAGGGUGCGUAGGCGGCGCGGUAAGUCGGGGUGUGAAAUCUUGGAGCUUAACUCCGUAAACUGCAUUCGAUACUGCCGUGCUUGAGGACUGGAGAGGAGACUGGAAUUUACGGUGUAGCGGUGAAAUGCGUAGAUAUCGUAAGGAAGACCAGUGGCGAAGGCGGGUCUCUGGACAGUUCCUGACGCUGAGGCACGAAGGCCAGGGGAGCAAACGGG
rnacentral:rRNA from 1 species